GGAUUAGAUACCCUGGUAGUCCACGCUGUAAACGAUGAGUACUAGUUGUCUGAGGCUUUAUGCUUUGGGUGACGGAGCUAACGCAUUAAGUACUCCGCCUGGGGACUACGGCCGCAAGGCUAAAACUCAAAGGAAUUGACGGGGGCCCGCACAAGCGGUGGAGCAUGUGGUUUAAUUCGAUGCAACGCGAAGAACCUUACCUGGUCUUGACAUACUAGGGAUUCUUUAGAGAUAGAGAAGUGCCUUCGGGAACCUAGAUACAGGUGCUGCAUGGCUGUCGUCAGCUCGUGCCG
rnacentral:rRNA from 1 species